UGCAAAGAGUGUUAACUAGUAACUGCUUGGAUGCAGUCUUCUCAUGACUCACUACUAUCUAGUAUAUAGUUUUAUCUGUUAUGUAACCUAAGCCUGCCUCCAGGAACAACUCUAUAAACCUGAAUGAAUCUGAUAGUAAAGUAAAGAACUCAUUUCUGGCCAGGGGGAGAGAUGUACUAUGCGCCUUCUUGGACAGACAGCAAGCUCUUCUGAGUCCAGGAACCUGACUGCCCCCUUGGGAUGUGAGGGGCUGACACAUCCAAGCAGGCUUCAAAUCAAAGAAUGAGCAGCAUCUGUCAUCCCUCAGAACAGCCAAUAUGAGGAUUCUAGUUUAUCACAGCAGUGCACAAGUAAACACCCGUAACCUUCAGGUGGCACCAUCAGAAAGG